CCGCGGGAACACCGGCGGCCCGAGUGGUGAUCGUGAUUAUUGGGUCUAAAGGGUCCGUAGCCGGUUUGGUCAGUCCUCCGGGAAAUCUGAUAGCUCAACUAUUAGGCUUUCGGGGGAUACUGCCAGACUUGGAACCGGGAGAGGUAAGAGGUACUACAGGGGUAGGAGUGAAAUCUUGUAAUCCCUGUGGGACCACCUGUGGCGAAGGCGUCUUACCAGAGCGGGUUCGACGGUGAGGGACGAAAGCUGGGGGCACGAACCGGAUUAGAUACCCGGGUAGUCCCAGCCGUAAACGAUGCUCGCUAGGUGUCAGGCAUGGCGCGACCGUGUCUGGUGCCGCAGGGAAGCCGUGAAGCGAGCCACCUGGGAAGUACGGCCGCAAGGCUGAAACUUAAAGGAAUUGGCGGGGGAGCACAACAACGGGUGGAAGCCUGCGGUUUAAUUGGACUCAACGCCGGACAACUCACCGGGGGGCGACAGCAAUAUGUAGGCCAAGCUGAAGACUUUGCCUGAAUCGCUGAGAAGUGGUGCAUGG
rnacentral:rRNA from 1 species